rnacentral:rRNA from 1 species
AUUACCGCGGCUGCUGGCACGUAGUUAGCCGGUGCUUCUUCUUCAGGUACCGUCAGUGAUGCAGGGUAUUGGCCCGCACCGUUUCGUUCCUGCUGAAAGAGCUUUACAACCCGAAGGCCUUCUUCACUCACGCGGAAUGGCUGGAUCAGGUUUCCCCCAUUGUCCAAAAUUCCCCACUGCUGCCUCCCGUAAG